rnacentral:piRNA from 1 species
UGGCAAAGGGGCUAGGUAACAGUUAAG